UACGAAGGGGGCGAGCGUUGUUCGGAUUUACUGGGCGUAAAGGGCGCGUAGGCGGCGCGGUAAGUCGGGUGUGAAAUCUCGGAGCUUAACUCCGAAACUGCAUUCGAUACUGCCGUGCUUGAGGACUGGAGAGGAGACUGGAAUUUACGGUGUAGCGGUGAAAUGCGUAGAUAUCGUAAGGAAGACCAGUGGCGAAGGCGGGUCUCUGGACAGUUCCUGACGCUGAGGCACGAAGGCCAGGGGAGCAAACGGG
rnacentral:rRNA from 1 species